rnacentral:rRNA from 1 species
GACGAACGCUGGCGGCGUGCUUAACACAUGCAAGUCGAGCGGAGCGGCGAAGGGGGGGGAAACGCGUGAGUAACUGCCCCCUUCUCGGGGAAAACAGUUGGAAACGGCGGCUAAUACCGGAUAGUGGGGGAUGACUCGCGUCCAAUCAGAUUGUUGGUGGGGUAGUGGCCUACCAAGGCGACGACGGUUAGCCGGCCUGGGAGGGCGACCGGCCACAUUGGGCUGAGAUACUGCCCAAACUCCUACGGGGGGCAGCAGUGGGGAAUAUUGCGCAGUGGGGGAAACCCUGAUGCAGCAACGCGCGUGCGGGAUGACGGCCUUCGGGUUGUAAACCGCUUUCAGCCAUGACGCGGUAGUGGCAGAAGAAGCACCGGCUAACUACGUGCCAGCAGCCGCGGUAAUAC